GGUAGAAUUCCAUGUGUAGCAGUGAAAUGCGUAGAUAUAUGGAGGAAUACCAGUGGCGAAGGCGGCCUCCUGGCUCGACAUUGACGCUGAGGUGCGAAAGCGUGGGGAGCAAACGGGAUUAGAUACCCCGGUAGUCCACGCCGUAAACGAUGUCUACUAGCUGUAGGGGUACUUGAGACCUUUGUAGCGCAGCUAACGCAAUAAGUAGACCGCCUGGGGAGUACGGCCGCAAGGUUAAAACUCAAAUGAAUUGACGGGGGCCCGCACAAGCAGUGGAGCAUGUGGUUUAAUUCGAUGCAACGCGAAGAACCUUACCAGGCCUUGACAUCCCCGGAACUUUCUAGAGAUAGAUUGGUGCCUUCGGGAACCGGGUGACAGGUGCUGCAUGGCUGUCGUCAGCUCGUGUCGUGAGAUGUUGGGUUAAGUCCCGUAACGAGCGCAACCCUUGUCCUUAGUUGCCAGCACAUUAUGGUGGGAACUCUAAGGAGACUGCCGGUGACAAACCGGAGGAAGGUGGGGACGACGUCAAGUCAUCAUGGCCCUUACGGCCUGGGCUACACACGUGCUACAAUGGCUAGGACAGACGGCUGCAAACCAGCGAUGGGAAGCUAAUCCGACAAACCUAGUCGUAGUCCGGAUUGGAGUCUGCAACUCGACUCCAUGAAGUCGGAAUUGCUAGUAAUCGCGAAUCAGAAUGUCGCGGUGAAUACGUUCCCGGGCCUUGUACACACCGCCCGUCACACCAUGGGAGUGGGUUGCUCCAGAAGUGGUUAGUCUAACCUUCGGGAGGACGAUCACCACGGAGUGAUUCAUGACUGGGGUGAAGUCGUAACAAGGUAGCCCUAGGGGAACCUGGGGCUG
rnacentral:rRNA from 1 species